AUUGAACGCUGGCGGCAGGCCUAACACAUGCAAGUCGAACGUGAAAACUCCUUCGGGAGUGAGUAGAGUGGCGAACGGGUGAGUAACGCGUAGGAAUCUACCCAAGAGUGGGGGACAACCCGGAGAAAUCCGGGCUAAUACCGCAUACGCCCUACGGGGUAAAGUGGGGGACCUUUCGGGGCCUCAUGCUUUUGGAUGAGCCUGCGUCGGAUUAGCUUGUUGGUGAGGUAACGGCUCACCAAGGCGACGAUCCGUAGCUGGUCUGAGAGGAUGACCAGCCACACUGGGACUGAGACACGGCCCAGACUCCUACGGGAGGCAGCAGUGGGGAAUAUUGGACAAUGGGGGCAACCCUGAUCCAGCCAUGCCGCGUGUGUGAAGAAGGCCUUCGGGUUGUAAAGCACUUUCAGUAGGGAAGAAAUGCCUAGGGUUAAUACCCUUGGGUCUUGACGGUACCUACAGAAGAAGCACCGGCUAAUUCCGUG
rnacentral:rRNA from 1 species